UGGAUUUUAAGAAAUCACCAGACAGUUGUUCAAGAUCUCUUUAAUAAUACCUUUUAGAAGUAUACUUUCUUUUUUCCUUAGAUUAGACAUUUCUGGACCUGGCAACGGAACCUCUUUUAGGGCUGAAACUAAAGACAACAAUGAUUCUGACCCAGGGGCCUGGGCUCUAAACUCCUUGGGAAGUGGGCCCACUUUCCACACGGACAAACACGAACGGCAGCUCAUGAACAAAGAGGCACAGGAAGAGGGAAGGGGGUCAGGAAAGGUGACAUUUCCCGAGUGCCCGCACAAGGCCUGGAUCGCCACAUGCUUCAAUUCAUUUAUGAACAGCCACUAGAGGAACACGGUGACACUGAGGUGGAGAGAAAGAAACGAGCGUUUUGGCAGUGGAUGGGGUCUGGGGCAGGUGCUGACAGCUGAGCCAUUCCAUGCACCUUUGGAGCAAAGAACUGCCGGAAACCAGGGCCAAGUUCAGAGCCUGAAAUUUUUUGAAAGGCUACAAGGAGAAACCUGGGGGGCCUGAUCACACAUUACAUCAGCCGUAUGUGAGCGGAGGAUGCCACCGAUGCGAGGAACCCAGUACCUGUCAGAAUUGCGCAAGUUUUACGCAGAAGCACUUAAGUGUUGCAACAUGACUCCACAUCUUUACCAAAAAUGUGAAACAUCCACCCAGCACACACUUUAAAAACACUAAAGCUCCUCUCCACCAGGUGGCUAAGGCUGCUUGAUGAGGCUGACAGGAGAGGAGCUUUGCAGGGGGCCUGACUUACUGUAGCUCUUGGCCCAGGGAGCUGAACAUGCAGUACUUUGCACCCCAAUAGCCUUGGGCAGCCCAAGCCUCUGAUAAAAUGUACUUUUUUGUGUGUUUGUUUUUCCUGGCAGUCUCAUUUUGGGUUAUAAAUGGCUCAUUAUUUCCAUCC